CCUCCGGGGAGUAGCCCACCCGCGCACCGACCAGGUUCGCGGGGGCAUGCGUCAACACACUUGGCCCACAGGCCAUGGCGCAUGUACGGCAGCCAGCGU
rnacentral:sRNA from 2 species